rnacentral:lncRNA from 1 species
AAAAGUAAGAAAAGUUAUUUUUGUUUUGUUUAAAAAAAAAAAAUUCAUCCAAAUUUUUUCAAUCACCUCCGCCAUCACCUUCGCCACCACCAGCGCCACUUUCAUCUCCGCUACCAUCACCUCCUCCACCGCCACCGCUACUUUUUUUUUUAAAUAGUUUCAGAAAAUGUGAACACAAAUAUAUUUUUAUUUUUAAAUAUUUUAAAAAUAGGUGAACACAAACAUAUUUUUUAUUUUUAUUUUAUAAAAAACAAAACAAAACAAAAAUUAAAUAAACACAAAAAAUAGAAAAAUAAAAACGUUAUCAAACAUCCUCUACGUGUUCCAAACCAGUCAAAUCGCUACGCAUCCGAAUGACCCAUAGUCAAUUUCUAGGGUUUUCAUUUCAGCUGCAUACCCAUGGGUGAAUGGAUGAUCUAAGAGAUGUGAAUGGCUCGGGUUUUCAUUUCUCGGGGUUAUCGGCUUGAAUUUUUUGCUUUUUAUUAACCAGGUUAUUAGAUUUAUUUUGAUUGUCAUGUUUUUUAUUUCUUAUUUUCCAGCUGUGUAUUAUAACUGAGUUAUGUAUAUUUUGCUGAAAUGAAGAAAUGAACAACAUCUGAAAUGAAGAAAUGAACAACAUUAGAAGAAUAUGGAACAUGUUGAAUUUGUAGAGUCCAUGAGCCAGGUCCCUUUUCAUGGACUGGGGCUAGAUCCAUUUUCUCUGCUACUCAUUCUGCAGGUGGAGUUCACCAUAUAAAUAAAUAAUUAAGGCCCCGUUUGGCCCAAAAAAGUUUUUGAGAUAUUUUAGUUGCUUUGAUUUUUGAGAUUUUUUCGCUUCUAGUAAAUUUUUUUAAUCGUUUGAUCAAAAUUUUAUAUUUUGUUGUUCUUUUUAACGAGAAAAGUCUGAAAAUAUAAAAAUCUUUAUCUAAUUUAGAAAGAUGUUCACGAAAGUGAAAAAAGUAACACUUUUUUACUUGAUAAAUUAGCUAAAUUUUUAUCUUUUAAUAGAUUUCUUAUUCCAAAUUUAAACAAUCUUUUUUCAUUUUCGGAUUUUCUCGUCAAUAAGAAAAGAAAAAGUAUAUUUUUUUUCUUAAACAGAGAAAAAGUUCACAAAAAGAUGGAAAAAUUUCAAAAUCAAGCACCUAAAAAUCUAGAUUGUAUGAAUCUAUAAUAAAAACUGUUAAAACAAUUUUUAAUUAAAAAUAAUAUAUUUCUUCUUUUAAAAUGGAGAACUGGAUCGAAGAUUCUUAUAAGUAGCUUCGAACUUAUUUCAUCUAAUACCAUCAUACACAAAAAGUUACGUACAUGUUUGGCAAAAUUUUAAAGCAUCAACUUCUGCUUUUUAGUUUUAAAAUUUGUUUCAAAAUGUUUAAUAAAACUUCUGUUUAUGGAUUAAAAAUAAUUUAUAAAGCUAAAAAAGAGUUGAUUUUUGAAAGUUUUAUUUUAAAAAAUUUUAACUUCUAUUUUUAAGUAAAUAAUUUUAACAUAAGUUGAGCUAUUAUGCUAAACACACUCUAUACACAAUUUAUUGACUAUAGAACAACUAUACACACGUGAAUGUUACAUUUUCUAUUUCGUGCCAUCACAAACAAAAAUGGCAAUGUAUUCACAGUGAAGAGCAAAAACCGAGCUGAUUAUGUGCCCACAACAUAACUCUCUCUCUCUCUCCACUGAUGGAUUAGAAGAGAAGUUGAAGUUUGCACAAUUAGUGCGUCGCAACAGCAGCAAAGAGCUAAAGCCCAACCCAGACCAGCCAAAAUCAAACUGGACCAGAUUAUCCUCCAAUGGAUGGGCCACAAUCACAAUCUCAACCUUUGGGCGCAGCCCGACAUCAGUAAACGCCGAAGAGGUCACCCUGGUCCUGGCCUGGACCAACGAGUUGGCCCUGUAGAUAGUCCACGCAACGUUCCGGUUACCCAAAAUGAAGUCGAUGGGGCAUUUUCAAAGUAUAAAGUUUUCAAAACUUGAAGUUUGAAAAUAAUAUACCCAAACAAGACACUAGCAAUUCAUGAGCGUUAAAACUAAAAAAAGAACGGACAUAUCCCGUAAUGCUGUUUAGAAUUUUAUCUUCAUUGUUGUGGAUGGAUAAAUGCCUUGUUGCGAGUCCAUUAAAAGGCUCAAAAUGUCACAAAAACCCAAAUCCUUGGAUAUCAAUUUUUUUUUUUGAUUAUGUAGAAAAAUUGUCCAAUUGCUGCGAUAGAGAUCAUAUUGGAGGCAAAAUCUUUGUAGUUGGAACAUGUUCAUAGGAUACUUUAAAUCACAUGUACAGACAUAUGAUUUCGAAAAUGUUUGAAACAUGGCUGGAGUGUUCCCCAUUGUGCAAUAAGAUCCAAAUGAAGUCCAUACAACUCCAUGGAAAAUUGCACUUGCGUGACUUAACAAAGACCUUAACACUGAACUAGCUAAAAGAUGCACCUAGUUGGGAACAAAUAAUAUUAUAGGACUAUAUAGCUAACAAAGUUUAAGCUGAAAAUAAUGCCAGACAAUUCAAUGCUAAGCAAGCUAUUGGAUAAUUCAUGUU